GCCGACCUGGUCGGACGGGAACUCGACGAGAUCGUCUUCCGGACGGCCGGGGUCACCCACCAGUCCUUCGUGUUGCGGUUCGAGAGCGAAGGCCGCUCCC
rnacentral:tRNA from 1 species